rnacentral:rRNA from 1 species
UUCKYUAMCACAUGCAAGUCGAACGAAAGAUUGUAGUAAUACCGGUCUUAGUGGCGAACGGGUGAGUAACGCGUGGGUGACCUGCCCCGAAGUGUAGGAUAACAGUCCGAAAGGAUUGCUAAUACUGCAUAACAUCCAGGAGAUUAGAACCUGCUGGAUUAAAGGAAUUUUCGCUUCGGGAGGGGCCUGCGUCCCAUCAGCUAGUUGGUAAGGUAAUGGCUUACCAAGGCGAUGACGGGUAGGGGACCUGAGAGGGUGGCCCCCCACAAUGGAACUGAAACACGGUCCAUACACCUACGGGUGGCAGCAGUAGGGAAAUAUUAGUAAUGGGCGAAAGCCUGAACUAGCAACGCCGCGUGUGCGAAGAAGGCCUUCGGGUUGUAAAGCACUUUUUGAGAGGACGAGGAAGGGCGGUACUCUCAGAAUAAGUCUCGGCUAACUACCGUGCCAGCAGCCGCGGUAAYAMGGGGNAUUUGUUUAACCNUCAGNCNNGNCCUUUGAGG